AGCAUUGCAAAGAUCAAUAUUGCCGACUAUCAAAUUGGAAUACUACUUACAAUGAAUGGACCCCAUUAAAGUAAAAGCUCUUGCUUUAAUGAAGCAUGACAUGGCAGCAGAUCCCCCAACUGUCAAUUUGGAAACCCACCCAGCUCACUUCCAAGGUCCAACUGCCAACUUCUAUCCUCUGCUGCUUGCGAAUAAGAGGAACCGACAUUUAACACUUCAUUCUUGAUUAUCCGGCUCUCGUUUGGGCUCUGGAGAAAAGGGUUGUAAGGGUUCUCUACCAGACACACUGAAAUUUGAAGUACUGAAGCCGUGUAUAGGUUUGCAGUUUGUAGGGAGAUGAGAGCUCGAGCUCCUAAAUUGGCGAUUAAUUGGUUCAGCUCUUCAUGCUAUCUCUCUAGAUUUGUACAUUCACCGACUUUUGCAACAGUAGAAGUUGAAAAAAUCUCAGAAUCUCAACCUGCUGAGGUGCACAACUUGGUGCAGGGUAGCUGGACAAAAUCUUCGACAUGGGCUAAAUUUUUGGAUCCAUUAAAUGGAGAACAAUUCCUUAAAGUUUCUGAAGUGGAUGAAAAGAGCUAGAGCCUUUUGUGGAGAGCUUGUCCAAAUGUCCAAAAUCUGGUCUUCAUAAUCCAUUUAAAGCACCAGAGAGAUAUCUUAUGUAUGGAGACAUAUCUAUGAGGGCUGCACACAUGCUUGGUCAGCCUGAGG